UGGGGAAUAUUGCACAAUGGGCGGAAGCCUGAUGCAGCAACGCCGCGUGAGGGAUGACGGCCUUCGGGUUGUAAAACCUCUUUUAGCAGGGAAGAAGCGAGAGUGACGGUACCUGCAGAAAAAGCGCCGGCUAACUACGUGCCAGCAGCCGCGGUAAUACGUAGGGCGCAAGCGUUAUCCGGAAUUAUUGGGCGUAAAGAGCUCGUAGGCGGUCUGUCGCGUCUGCUGUGAAAACCCGAGGCUCAACCUCGGGCCUGCAGUGGGUACGGGCAGACUAGAGUGCGGUAGGGGAGAUUGGAAUUCCUGGUGUAGCGGUGGAUGCGCAGAUAUCAGGAGGAACACCGAUGGCGAAGGCAGAUCUCUGGGCCGUAACUGACGCUGAGGAGCGAAACGGGCU
rnacentral:rRNA from 1 species